rnacentral:rRNA from 1 species
UACGUAGGGUGCGAGCGUUAAUCGGAUUUAUUGGGCGUAAAGCGAGCGCAGGUGGUUUAAUAAGUCUGAUGUAAAAGGCAGUGGCUCAACCAUUGUGUGCAUUGGAAACUGUUAGACUUGAGUGCAGUAGAGGAGAGUGGAAUUCCAUGUGUAGCGGUGAAAUGCGUAGAUAUAUGGAGGAACACCGGUGGCGAAAGCGGCUCUCUGGACUGUAACUGACACUGAGGCUCGAAAGCGUGGGUAGCAAACAGG